AACGAACGCUGGCGGCGUGCUUAACACAUGCAAGUCGAACGCGAAAGUUUUCUUCGGAAAACGAGUAGAGUGGCGCACGGGUGAGUAACGCGUAAGUAAUCUACCCUGGCAUCUGGGAUAACCCACCGAAAGGUGUGCUAAUACCGGAUACGUUGAUUUAUCAGGAAAGGUGGCCUCUUCAUGAAAGCUACCGUGCCGGGAGGAGCUUGCGUACCAUUAGCUAGUUGGUGGGGUAAUGGCCUACCAAGGCAACGAUGGUUAGCGGGUCUGAGAGGAUGAUCCGCCACACUGGAACUGAAACACGGACCAGACUCCUACGGGAGGCAGCAGUGAGGAAUAUUGCGCAAUGGGGGAAACCCUGACGCAGCGACGCCGCGUGGAUGAUGAAGGCCUUCGGGUCGUAAAAUCCUGUCAGAUGGGAAGAAAUGUCAUAUCGCUAAUACCGGUAUGGCUUGACGGUACCAUCAAAGGAAGCACCGGCUAACUCCG
rnacentral:rRNA from 1 species